rnacentral:rRNA from 1 species
UACGUAGGUGGCAAGCGUUGUCCGGAUUUACUGGGCGUAAAGAGCGCGCAGGCGGUCGUUCAAGUCGCGUGUGAAAGCCCCCGGCUCAACUGGGGAGGGUCACGCGAUACUGAUCGACUCGAAGGCAGGAGAGGGAAGUGGAAUUCCCGGUGUAGUGGUGAAAUGCGCAGAUAUCAGGAGGAACACCGGUGGCGAAGGCGGAUCUCUGGGCCUUACCUGACGCUCAGGUGCGAAAGCUAGGGGAGCGAACAGG